UAGGGAAUCUUCGGCAAUGGGGGGAACCCUGACCGAGCAACGCCGCGUGAGUGAAGAAGGUUUUCGGAUCGUAAAGCUCUGUUGUUAAGGAAGAACGAGUGUGAGAAUGGAAAGUUCAUACUGUGACGGUACUUAACCAGAAAGCCACGGCUAACUACGUGCCAGCAGCCGCGGUAAUACGUAGGUGGCAAGCGUUGUCCGGAUUUAUUGGGCGUAAAGCGAGCGCAGGCGGUCAAUUAAGUCUGAUGUGAAAGCCCCCGGCUCAACCGGGGAGGGUCAUUGGAAACUGGUUGACUUGAGUGCAGAAGAGGAGAGUGGAAUUCCAUGUGUAGCGGUGAAAUGCGUAGAUAUAUGGAGGAACACCAGUGGCGAAGGCGACUCUCUGGUCUGUAACUGACGCUGAGGUUCGAAAGCGUGGGUAGCAAACAGG
rnacentral:rRNA from 1 species